GACAGAGGGUGCAAACGUUGUUCGGAAUUACUGGGCGUAAAGCGCGUGUAGGCGGCUAAGUAAGUCGGGCGUGAAAUCCCACGGCUCAACCGUGGAAGUGCACUCGAAACUGCAUAGCUAGAGUCCUGGAGAGGAAGGUGGAAUGCUUGGUGUAGAGGUGAAAUUCGUAGAUAUCAAGCGGAACACCGGUGGCGAAGGCGGCCUUCUGGACAGUGACUGACGCUGAGGCGCGAAAGCGUGGGGAGCAUACAGG
rnacentral:rRNA from 1 species